rnacentral:rRNA from 1 species
ACGAAGGGGGCUAGCGUUGUUCGGAAUUACUGGGCGUAAAGCGCACGUAGGCGGACUUGUAAGUAGGAGGUGAAAGCCCGGGGCUCAACUCCGGAAUUGCCUUUAAGACUGCAUCGCUUGAAUUGUGGAGAGGUAAGUGGAAUUCCGAGUGUAGAGGUGAAAUUCGUAGAUAUUCGGAAGAACACCAGUGGCGAAGGCGGCUCACUGGCCCGGUACUGACGCUGAGGUGCGAAAGCGUGGGGAGCAAACAGGA